rnacentral:rRNA from 1 species
ACGCUCGACACCUACGGGAGACAGCAGUAGGGAAUCUUCCACAAUGGACGCAAGUCUGAUGGAGCAACGCCGCGUGAGUGAAGAAGGUUUUCGGAUCGUAAAGCUCUGUUGUUGGUGAAGAAGGAUAGAGGUAGUAACUGGCCUUUAUUUGACGGUAAUCAACCAGAAAGUCACGGCUAACUACGUGGCAGCAGCCGCGGUAAUCUGAGCGGGCUGGCAAGGC